rnacentral:rRNA from 1 species
ACCGUGCAAAGGUAGCAUAAUCAUUAGUUUUUUAAUUGAAAGCUGGUAUGAAUGGUUGGACGAGAAAGUGACUGUCUCAAUUUAAUUGAAUUAGAAUUUUAUCUUUAAGUUAAAAAGCUUAAAUGAAUUUAAAAGACGAGAAGACCCUAUAGAGUUUUAUAUUUAGAUAUAUAUAUAAGUAUUAGGAUAUAUGUUAAGUAUAUAAAUAUGUAUUUUGUUGGGGUGACAAAAAAAUUGAUUGAACUUUUUUUAUAUUGAGUCAUUAAUUUAUGAUUAAGUGAUCCGUUAUUAACGAUUAUAAGAUUAAAUUACCUUAGGGAUAACAGCGUAAUUCUUUUUAAGAGUUCUUAUCGAAAGGAGAGUUU